rnacentral:rRNA from 1 species
UGGGGAAUCUUGCGCAAUGGGCGAAAGCCUGACGCAGCAACGCCGCGUGGGGGAUGAAGGCUCUCGGGUUGUAAACCCCUUUCAGCAGGGACGAAGCGCAAGUGACGGUACCUGCAGAAGAAGCGCCGGCUAACUACGUGCCAGCAGCCGCGGUAAUACGUAGGGCGCAAGCGUUGGCCGGAAUUAUUGGGCGUAAAGAGCUCGUAGGCGGUCUGUUACGUCCGCUGUGAAAACCCAGGGCUUAACCCUGGGCUUGCAGUGGAUACGGGCAGACUAGAGGUAGGUAGGGGAGAAUGGAAUUCCCGGUGUAGCGGUGAAAUGCGCAGAUAUCGGGAGGAACACCGGUGGCGAAGGCGGUUCUCUGGGCCUUACCUGACGCUGAGGAGCGAAAGCGUGGGGAGCGAAC